rnacentral:rRNA from 1 species
AAAUUGAAGAGUUUGAUCAUGGCUCAGAUUGAACGCUGGCGGCAGGCCUAACACAUGCAAGUCGAACGGUAGCACAGAGAGCUUGCUCUCGGGUGACGAGUGGCGGACGGGUGAGUAAUGUCUGGGAAACUGCCUGAUGGAGGGGGAUAACUACUGGAAACGGUGGCUAAUACCGCAUAACGUCGCAAGACCAAAGAGGGGGACCUUCGGGCCUCUUGCCAUCAGAUGUGCCCAGAUGGGAUUAGCUUGUUGGUGAGGUAACGGCUCACCAAGGCGACGAUCCCUAGCUGGUCUGAGAGGAUGACCAGCCACACUGGAACUGAGACACGGUCCAGACUCCUACGGGAGGCAGCAGUGGGGAAUAUUGCACAAUGGGCGCAAGCCUGAUGCAGCCAUGCCGCGUGUAUGAAGAAGGCCUUCGGGUUGUAAAGUACUUUCAGCGGGGAGGAAGGUGUUGUGGUUAAUAACCACAGCAAUUGACGUUACCCGCAGAAGAAGCACCGGCUAACUCCGUGCCAGC